GAUGAACGCUGGCGGCGUGCUUAACACAUGCAAGUCGAACGUGAGAGGAUAGCAAUAUUCUUGAAAGUGGCGCACGGGUGAGUAAUACGUAGGUAACCUGCCCUGGAGUGGGGAUAACAACUAGAAAUGGUUGCUAAUACCGCAUGAAGCCAAGACACUGGGAAGUGACUUGGUAAAAACUCUGGUGCUUCAGGAGGGGCCUACGGCCGAUUAGCUAGUUGGCGGGGUAAGAGCCCACCAAGGCAGUGAUCGGUAGCUGGUCUGAGAGGACGAUCAGCCACACGGGAACUGAGACACGGUCCCGACUCCUACGGGGGGCAGCAGUGAGGAAUAUUGGGCAAUGGGCGGAAGCCUGACCCAGCAACGCCGCGUGGAGGAAGACGG
rnacentral:rRNA from 1 species